UAUCCCCCAAACUAAGGGGGGAUGAGAACCACCGACCGGGGUUCGACAACUGGCGCAGCCAGUUGGACAGACCGGGCGCGCAGCGAGGGGGCUGCCCGAAGGGCGAGCGCAGCGAGUCAAUCCCCCCCUCACCGCCA
rnacentral:sRNA from 1 species